UCUGUUAAAUUUCUCUCUCCCACCAAUUAAAAUAAAAACACAAUCUUCACAGCAUCAAAAUAAUAUCUCAAAUUAACAGCAUCAAAAUAAUAUCUCAAACUAAUAAAAUGUGCAAACUCAAACUUUCGAUGAUCCAACUCAAUUGAACUCGAUCUUUCUUUCUUUUUGACAAGCAUAACGUCAGCAAUUUUCUUUCUUUUGGCAAGAAUAAAGCCUUAUUAUAAAUAUCAAAUCCAUAAAUAUCACUUCUCCAAAAGUCCAAAUGAAAAACGGUUAAAAAACCAAACUGCUACACCUCCAAAACACCUGAAAAUAUAAAUUAUGCAAAUACCAUUCUAGAAUGAUCUCCCCAACGAAAAAUUGAAGGUUAUUCGGUAUAUUUAGUUGUCCCCUCAAUAUUCUUUAGUUUUCCGAGUAAAUAUUUGGUUGCCCCUCAAUAUUCUUCUUGAAAAGCUCUUGUUGCUCCACGUCCAACUUGGGUGCGAGCAAUUGCAUUUCGUUAACAAUAACUGCGGGUGAGGCCUUGAAAAGCUCUUGUUGCUCUAUGUCCAACUUGGGUAUGAGCAAUUGCAUUUCGUUAACAAUAACUGCGGGUGUGGCAAGCUUAGCAUGACACAUCCAUAAUCUCAACUAACACAUUUUUCAAGAGAAAAACUCUGUGGGUGUGGCAAGCUUGACAUGGUACAUCUAGAAACUCAACUAACACAUUUUUCAAGAGAAAAAU
rnacentral:lncRNA from 1 species